CACGUCAGCGCGCUUUGCUUACGUGGACACAAAUCGCGCCUACGAGGACGUGAUUUUCUGACACAUCAGCAAAACGCGCUGACGUCC
rfam:Gossypium raimondii chromosome 9, whole genome shotgun sequence.